GGUUGAUCCUGCCAGUAGUCAUAUGCUUGUCCUAAAGAUUAAGCCAUGCAUGUCUAAGUAUAAACACGUUGUACUGUGAAACUGCGAAUGGCUCAUUAUAUCAGUUAUAAUUUAUUUGAUAGUCUCUUUACUACUUGGAUAACCGUGGUAAUUCUAGAGCUAAUACAUGCGAAAAGCCCGACUCUUUGGAAGGGCUGUAUUUAUUAGAUUAAAAACCGACACAUCGGUGAUUCAUAAUAACUGUGCGGAUCGCAUGGCCUUGCGCCGGCGACGUUUCAUUCAAAUUUCUGCC
rnacentral:rRNA from 1 species